rnacentral:rRNA from 1 species
UACGUAGGGGGCAAGCGUUGUCCGGAUUUAUUGGGCGUAAAGAGCGUGUAGGCGGCCUGAAAGGUCAGCUGUGAAAACUCGAGGCUCAACCUCGAGACGUCGGUUGAAACCAUCUGGCUAGAGUCCGGAAGAGGAGUGUGGAAUUCCCGGUGUAGCGGUGAAAUGCGCAGAUAUCGGGAAGAACAUCAGUGGCGAAGGCGGCCAUCUGGGACAACACUGACGCUGAAGCACGAAAGCGUGGGGAGCAAACAGG